rnacentral:rRNA from 1 species
GCCUACGGGACGCAGCAGUGGGGGAUAUUGCACAAUGGGGGAAACCCUGAUGCAGCGACGCCGCGUGAGUGAAGAAGUAUUUCGGUAUGUAAAGCUCUAUCAGCAGGGAAGAAAAAAGACGGUACCUGACUAAGAAGCCCCGGCUAACUACGUGCCAGCAGCCGCGGUAAUACGUAGGGGGCAAGCGUUAUCCGGAUUUACUGGGUGUAAAGGGAGCGUAGGCGGUUUAGCAAGUCAGAAGUGAAAGCCCGGGGCUUAACUCCGGGACUGCUUUUGAAACUGUUGAACUAGAUUGCAGGAGAGGG